rnacentral:rRNA from 1 species
ACUCCUGCCGAUGGAUAUCUUGGCUCUCGCAACGAUGAAGAACGCAGCGAAAUGCGAUACGUAGUGCGAAUUGCAGAAUUCAGUGAAUCAUCGAACCUUUGAACGCAAAUGGCGCAUCCGGGCUCCGCUCGGACGCAUGCCUCUUCGAGGGGCGCCUCCAUCCUCCUCGGAGCGAGAGAGCUCUCUCUCUCGUCUCCGGAGCCGGCGGCCGCGCGGGGGAGCCUCGGCCCCCUCGCGCGCCCGCCCAAGGCUGCCUUGCGAGCGCGGCGGCGGCGUCUAACCCGCGUCCCCGCCGGAGUGCUAAGUCCAUGACUAGACCUCCGGCGGACGCGUGCCCCGUUCUGCCUCGCGACCCCCCGGCGUGCGCGGUGCCUCUCCUCUCCUCCGGGAGAGCGAGGCCCGCCCGCCCCGGCGCGCGGCCGCUCUCUGUGCGGCCGCGCGCCUCGAAACCCGCCAUCGAAUGAGGCAAGACUACCCGCUGAACUUAAGCAUAUCACUAAGCGGAGGAGAAGAAACUAACCAGGAUGCCCCUAGUAAUGGCGAAUGAAGCGGGCUGAGCUCACGCUGCCAAUCUGGAGGCCUCGCGUAUGCAGCGCCCCCCGAAUUGUGGUCUAGAGAGGCGUUAUCGGCCGCGCCCGCCGCUCAAGUCCCUUGGAACAGGGUGUCGGAGAGGGUGAGAAUCCCGUACCGUGGCGGGUUGCGGCCUUACGAUGCGUCCUCGUCGAGUCGGGUUGCUUGGGAUUGCAGCUUGAAUUGGGUGGUAAAUUCCAUCUAAAGCUAAAUACUGGCGAGAGACCGAUAGCGAACAAGUACCGUGAGGGAAAGAUGCAAAGAACUUUGAAAAGAGAGUCAAAGAGUGCUUGAAAUCGGUAGGAGGAAACCCGGAUGGGCCCGGCUUCGGCGCGCCGACUCAGCCUGGGGUUCUCCCCAGGUGCACUUCUGCGCGCCGGGUCAGCCGCGCCUCGGCGCCGCGCCUCAACCCGGGAGCGGGGCUUUACGGCCAGCUCCCGUCCUGGCGCGGCCCGGGGCCCGGCUGACGGAACGGGCCCCUCCGACCCGUCUAGAAACACGGACCAAGGAGUCUGACACGUGUGCGAGUACCCGGGUGGCAAGCCCGCGUGCGGAAUGAAAGUGAAGGGCAUGCCCUGCCAACCGACCUUGACCUGCUGUGAGGGGUUUGAGUGGAGCACACCUGUCGGGACCCGAAAGAUGGUGAACUAUGCCUGGGUAGGGUGAAGCCAGAGGAAACUCUGGUGGAGGCUCGUAGCGAUACUGACGUGCAAAUCGUUCGUCGAAUCUGGGUAUAGGGGCGAAAGACUAAUCGAACCAUCUAGUAGCUGGUUCCCUCCGAAGUUUCCCUCAGGAUAGCUUGAACGCAACGGUUUUGUCAGGUAAAGCGAAUGAUUAGAGGCCUGUGGGCUGAAACAGCUUGCACCUAUUCUCAAACUUUAAAUGGGCAAGAGGCCCGGGAUGCUUGAGUGAUCCCGGGCGGCGAACGGCGCGUUCAAAGUGGGCCAUUUUUGGUAAGCAGAACUGGCGAUGCGGGAUGAACCGAACGCCGCGCUAAGGUACCCAAGUGUCCGCUCAUCAGAUACCACAAAAGGCGUUGGUACCUCCAGACAGCAGGACGGUGGCCAUGGAAGUCGGAACCCGCUAAGGAGUGUGUAACAACUCACCUGCCGAAGGUACUAGCCCUGAAAAUGGAUGGCGCUCAAGCGGACCACCGAUGCGCGGCCGCCGGCGCGAGCGCGAGGCGCCGGCGAGUAGGAGGGCGCGGGGCUCGCGGCGCAGCCUUGGGCGCGAGCCUGGGUGAAGCGGGCCCCGGUGCAGAUCUUGGUGGUAGUAGCAAAUAUUCAAAUGAGAACUUUGAAGACUGAAGUGGAGAAAGGUUCCGUGUGAACAGCAGUUGGACACGGGUGAGCCGACCCUAAGAGACAGGAAAACUCCGCCGAACGCGGCUGGUUCUGUCAGCCCGUCCGUCGAAAGGGAAUCGGGUUAAUAUUCCCGAGCCAGCGCGUGGAUGGUGGGCGGCGACGCGAACGAACCCGGAGACGCCGGCGGGAGCCCUGGGAAGAGUUCUCUUUUCUUCUUAACUGCCUCCUGCCCUGGAAUCGGUUUAGCCGGAGCGAGGGCUACACGGCAGGCAAAGCACCCUAAGUCUUGGGGUGUCCGGCGCGCUCCCGACGGCCCGUGAAAAUCCGGGGGAGCGGUUCGUUCUCACGCCUGGUCGUACUCAUAACCGCAUCAGGUCUCCAAGGUGAACAGCCUCUAGUCGAUAGAGCAAUGUAGGUAAGGGAAGUCGGCAAAAUGGUUCCGCAACCUCGGGAGAAGGAAUGGCUCUGAAGGCUGGGCGCAGGGGUCCUAGGCUCGAGGCCGGCUGGCUGCGCGGGGACUACGGCCUCACGGCUGCGGAUCCCGCGCGGCCGUCCGGCGGACGGCCUAGGAGCGCUCCGGCUCUCCCUGCGCGACGAACAGCCGCUUCAGAACUGGCGCGGACAAGGGGAAUCCGACUGUUUAAUUAAAACAAAGCAUUGCGAUGGCCCGCGAGGGUGCUGACGCAAUGUGAUUUCUGCCCAGUGCUCUGAAUGUCAAAGUGAAGAAAUUCAACCAAGCGCGGGUAAACGGCGGGAGUAACUAUGACUCUCUUAAGGUAGCCAAAUGCCUCGUCAUCCAAUUAGUGACGCGCAUGAAUGGAUUCGUGAGAUUCCCACUGUCCCUAUCUACUGUCUAGCGAAACCACAGCCAAGGGAACGGGCUUGGAAGAAUCAGCGGGGAAAGAAGACCCUGUUGAGCUUGACUCUAGUCUGUUACUGUGGAACGACUUGAUGGGUGUAGAAUAUGCGGGAGGGGCAACCCGACAGUGAAAUACCGCAACCGUCAACGUUGUUUUACUUACUCGGUGGCGCGGAGGGAGGCUCGCCUCACUUCUGGAUCCAAGCCGCUUCGUGCGCGCGAUCCGCGUCGGGGACACUAACAGGUGGGGAGUUUGGCUGGGGCGGCACGUCUGUUAAAAAAUAACGCAGGCGCCCGAUUUUGAGCUCAAUGAGAACAGAAAUCUCAUGUGGACCGAAAGGGGAAAAGCUCGGUUGAUUUUGAUUUUCAGUACGAAUACAAACCGCGAAAGCGUGGCCUAUCGAUCCUCUCGUCUUUGGGAAUUUCAAGCUAGAGGUGUCAGAAAAGUUACCACAGGGAUAACUGGCUUGUGGCUGCCAAGCGUUCAUAGCGACGUAGCUUUUUGAUCCUUCGAUGUCGGCUCUUCCUAUCACUGCCUCGCAGCGGGGGCCAAAUGCAGGAUUGUUCACCCACCAACAGGGAACGUGAGCUGGGUUUAGACCGUCGUGAGACAGGUUAGUUUUACCCUACUGCUGUCUGUUUUUCUACGGUAAUUUGGUUCAGUACGAGAGGAACCACCAAUUCGCAUCAUCGGUAUAGCCGCCGCCGGAAACGGCGAUGCGGCGAAGCUGCCAUGCGCCGGAUUAUAACUGAACGCCUCUAAGUUAGAAUCCAUGCCGGAAGGAAAGCCACCUACCGGCCCGGGGACGCCACGAGCAACGGUAGCACUGCCUGAGCCGCGAGCGACCACAAUUCACGGACCCGGGCCGACGAAUCCCUUGCAGACGACUUGAAUAAGGAACGGGGUAUUGUACGCGGCAGAGUGGCCUUGUUGCCACGAUCCGCUGAGAUUCAGCCUUGGUUCUGACGAUUUGUUGCGCGCGCGCAACAACCCUCAGGGCCUCUCCCGUUCCUCAGUCGCUCUCUCGGCGCUCUCCCCCCCUCGCCUCUCCUCCGAGCCUCACUCGCUCGGGGGCGGAGCCGAGGGGGCGAGAGCGCGAUUUCUGCCCAAGGCAGCGCGCAGGCCACUGCGCAAACACACCCGGCUCUCCCCGAGCCGCCACUGGGCGCUCCCGCGGUCCCCUCCGGGCUGAAUGCGGCCUCCGGAGCGGGCGGCGCGAGCGUCUGAGUCUACUCAGAGCCUUCCACGCUCUUCUUUGCGUUCCAAAGCACCCACUUCACCGUUACCUCCACCGCCCUCGCCACCGCCCACGCCGCCGCUACCAUUCCGGCCACCCUCCCCACCCUCAUCCCCAAAUUGCCCCCGCCGCCCGUUGCAGCUGCCGUCGCCGUCGAGCCCGCCCUCCGGACGCUAGCCCCCGCCCUUUACCGCCGCCCUCGCCGCCACCCUCGCCUCCGUGUGACACUCCGCCUCCCGCCCCGCCGCCGCCGCCCUCCAGCAUGCCGCCGCUCUCACCCUCUCCCCUCCAGCCGCCCCACCGCCCUAGCUGGCCGCCCCCCCCUCGCCACCACCGUCACCUCCACCGCCCUCGCCGCCGGCCUGCCCCAAGGCAGUGCGCAGGCCACUACGCAGACACACCCGGCUCUCUCCGAGCCGCCACGAGCCGCUCCCGCGGUCCCCUCCGGGCUGAAUGCGGCCUCCGGAGCGGGCGGCGCAAGCGUCCUACCCCCCUCAGAGCCUUCCAUGCUCUUCUUUGCGUUCCGAAGCACCCUCUGUAGCAUCACCCAGUCACCUCCCUUGCCACUCUCCUUGCGCACUUGGCCGAGGCGUCGCCAGGCACGCACGCCGCUCCCUCCAACCCCGUGUCGGCCUGCCGCCGCCCUCGCCUCCAGCCGCCCCGCCACCCUCACCGCCGCCGCCCUCCUCACCACCGUCUCCACCGCCGCUGCUCUCACCACCCUCGCCACCACCACCAUGCCCGCCUCCCUCGCUGCCACCCACGCCGCCGCCACCGCCCCCACCCCUCCGCUGCCCUCGCCCUUGCCGUCACCGCGCCGCGAGAUCUCUUACACUACCCUCCACCCCCGGCCCUUGCCGCCGCCCUUGCUGCGCCGCCCUCGCCGCCGCCUCCCGCCCCGCCGCGCCGCACUCACCCCCGCCCCCCCUCGGCCUGCUGCCAAUCUCACCACCCCUCGCCCUCGCCGCCGCCGCCCUCGCCCUCGCCGCCGCCGCCCUUGUCGCCACCGUCUCCGCCCCCUCCCUCGCCGCCGGGCCCGCCCUCACAGCCACGCGGCACGCACCCUUGCCUGGUACCGAGCAGUGUGCGGCCGCUCUUGAGCACUUGAGCACUGGAUAGGGUCGAUUCCGCAUGGUACGGGACCCCUCGAUCGUCUCACCCUCCCUCACUGGUGUGUUCACAGGGGUGGGGUGGGGGGUCAUAACAAACACGGUACAGGAUCGAUCGAGGUGCACGCUGCCAAAGCAGUGUCGCCCCCCCUCUCCAUCAUCUCCGAGGAGAUGUCGUCGGUGGUGGCGGUUGUGACCGAUCGAGCUACAAGAGGAGGUAGUUCAGCAGGAUCCGGGUAAUCCGACGCACUACCCUCCAACUGGGCCUGAGAUCAUUAGAUAGCACCGUCACCGUCUCGGGUUUGUUUGUGUGGAGUCUCAAAACACUCACGUCCGGGAUGGGCAAGCCCAUCAAGGUAUUUUCCUCAAAGUAGAGCUCGAGCGAGAUGUCAGCCAAGUGUUCAGCCGCCCGCCCGCUGCUCAACCGCUCCACGCCACGCCGCUUGCGGCGGUCCUCUUCCAAGCUCCGCUGAGGGCCCUCGCGUGUAAAAGAAAAUAACCGGCGCCUUUUGGUGGCCCGCCAGCCACACUAGUUCCGACGUCGUGCCGCCGACGUCGUGCCGCCGACGUGCUGUUCGCACAUGGCGACCGUCGCUGCCGUAUCGACGCAGCGCUCCUUUGCGCGGCGUGGCCGGUGGCGGCGGCGACGACCCGCUCCCGCGGCGCGAGCGCCUGCCGACUGUGGCGGCGCCAGCGCCUUGCCGCCGCUAUCCGAGCUGCUGUGGUCGGUGCGAGGCGCCUCGCCGCCUCUGACCGGCGAUGCUGAGCUCGCGGGCGCCUUCGACGGGCUGCGGCUCGACGAGGUGCUGCGGCUGCGCGAGGGACUCCCGCGGCUGGCGGCGGCGCUCGACGGCGGCGAAGAGGAGAUGCGGGUGUGCUACCUGGGCGGGUCUGUGACGGAGCAGAAGGCGGGGUACCGGCCGCUCGUCACCGCGUGGCUCCGAGCCGCCGCGGCCGGCUCGUGCCGCGUCGAGGAGGUCCCCGCCUUUUGCGGCAACUGCGGCUCAAAGGUGCUCGCCUUCAUGGUUGCAGACUGGGUCUGCCGCGCGGGCCGCAGAGGGAGGGCGUGGAGAGGCCGCUCGUCACGCGAUGCGGUGUGGACAGGUCGUCUCGCGGCGCCCGCAGCUGGUCUUCAUCGAGCUCGCGAUCAACGACGGCGACACACGCUGCUCGAGACGCUCGAGACACGCCGCUCCAGGAGCCUGCGGGGACCCUUCUCGGAACCUUCCCGCAGGCGACACGCUGCUCGAGACGGGGGACGCCGACGGCAUCGGCUCCGCCCUCGAAGGCAUCGUCCGGCACGUCCGCGACGCUCUGCCCCGCAGCGAGAUCUGCCUGCUGUACAUGUACGUGCGCGACGACCUGCCCCUACACCUACGCACCGGGUCAAAGGCCUGGGCGGACAACACGGACGCGGCGGCGGCCGCCACGUACACGGCCGCCAUCCCGCGGCUGCACGACGGCGUGGCGGACCGCUACGGCCUCCCGAGCAUCAGGCAGACCUCCCGCCGAGAUGUCGCGAGAUGUCGCCCAGAUGUCGCCGAGCUCUGGCCGAGCUCUGGUGUUGGCAACCGCCGCAGUCGCAUCUUCAGCCCCCCCACCCCCCCCACCCCCAACCACCCCCACCCCCAACCACCCCCACCACGUCCCCUCCCUCAGGCUCGCGCCUCUGAUGGCGAGGCUGCCUCCCCACCUCCGGCAGCGAGCCUUCCGAGACGACUGCCACUUCCUCCCUCCCGGCGCCGCCCUCGCCGCCGCCGCCAUCUCCGCCUCGCUCCAAGCGACACGCGCCGCCGCGGCCGCGGCCGCCGCCGCCGGCCGCGCCGCCGCCACCGGCCGCGCCGUGCCACUGCCGCCUCCGCUGCACGCGCGGCCGUGGGGGCGCGGCCGGGCGGAGGAGGUGAAGCCCGACCAGCUCUCCUUCUUCUACGCCAAGGCGCUCGCCCUGCCCUCUCCCCACCGGACCUCUCCCCACACCCGACCGCCUCGCAGCGCCCCGUCUGCGCAAAGGAGCCGCCACAAGGGGAAGACCCUCUCACCCCUCACCCUUCACCGCCUCACCCCUCCCCGCCGCCCCUCCCCGCCGCCCCUCCCCCCUCCCGCUCCCAGGAGCCGCCUCGC